rnacentral:rRNA from 1 species
AUUGAACGCUGGCGGCAUGCUUUACACAUGCAAGUCGAACGGCAGCGCGGGCUUCGGCCUGGCGGCGAGUGGCGAACGGGUGAGUAAUGCAUCGGAACGUGCCCAGUAGUGGGGGAUAGCCCGGCGAAAGCCGGAUUAAUACCGCAUACGACCUGAGGGUGAAAGCGGGGGACCGAAAGGCCUCGCGCUAUUGGAGCGGCCGAUGUCGGAUUAGCUAGUUGGUGGGGUAAAGGCUUACCAAGGCGACGAUCCGUAGCUGGUCUGAGAGGACGACCAGCCACACUGGGACUGAGACACGGCCCAGACUCCUACGGGAGGCAGCAGUGGGGAAUUUUGGACAAUGGGGGCAACCCCGAUCCAGCCAUGCCGCGUGCGGGAAGAAGGCCUUCGGGUUGUAAACCGCUUUUGUUCGGGAAGAAAUCCUCUGGGCUAAUACCCCGGGGGGAUGACGGUACCGGAAGAAUAAGCACCGGCUAACUACGUG